AGUGAACGCUGGCGGUAGGCCUAAUACAUGCAAGUCGAACGGCAGCACAGAGGAGCUUGCUCCUUGGGUGGCGAGUGGCGGACGGGUGAGGAAUACAUCGGAAUCUACUCUGUCGUGGGGGAUAACGUAGGGAAACUUACGCUAAUACCGCAUACGACAUACGGGUGAAAGCAGGGGACCUUCGGGCCUUGCGCGAUUGAAUGAGCCGAUGUCGGAUUAGCUAGUUGGCGGGGUAAAGGCCCACCAAGGCGACGAUCCGUAGCUGGUCUGAGAGGAUGAUCAGCCACACUGGAACUGAGACACGGUCCAGACUCCUACGGGAGGCAGCAGUGGGGAAUAUUGGACAAUGGGCGCAAGCCUGAUCCAGCCAUACCGCGUGGGUGAAGAAGGCCUUCGGGUUGUAAAGCCCUUUUGUUGGGAAAGAAAUCCAGCUGGCUAAUACCCGGUUGGGAUGACGGUACCCAAAGAAUAAGCACCGGCUAACUUCGUGCCAGCCGCCGCCGUAA
rnacentral:rRNA from 1 species